rfam:Mesocricetus auratus contig185534, whole genome shotgun sequence.
GUGUGUGGUGUGUCACUUCAGGAGGUACCAUCCAUUUAACAAAAAAUAUGAUUGGUACUUCUUUGAGUGAGAUAACUCACAU